GAUGAACGCUGGCGGCGUGCCUAAUACAUGCAAGUCGAGCGAAUGGAUUAAGAGCUUGCUCUUAUGAAGUUAGCGGCGGACGGGUGAGUAACACGUGGGUGACCUGCCCAUAAGACUGGGAUAACUCCGGGAAACCGGGGCUAAUACCGGAUAACAUUUUGAACCGCCUGGUUCGAAAUUGAAAGGCGGCUUCGGCUGUCACUUAUGGAUGGACCCGCGUCGCAUUAGCUAGUUGGUGAGGUAACGCCUCACCAAGGCAACGAUGCGCAGCCGACCUGAGAGGGUGAUCGGCCACGCAGGGACUGAGACACGGACCAGACGCCUACGGGCAGCAGCAGUAGGGAAUCUUCCGCAAUGGACGAAAGUCUGACGGAGCAACGCCGCGUGGGUGAUGAAGGCUUUCGGGUCGUAAAACUCUGUUGUUAGGGAAGAACAAGUGCUAGUUGAAUAAGCUGGCACCUUGACGGUACCUAACCAGAAAGCCACGGCUAACUACGUGCCAGCAGCCGCGGUAA
rnacentral:rRNA from 1 species